GGAAUAUUGGUCAAUGGGCGAGAGCCUGAACCAGCCAAGUAGCGUGCAGGAUGACGGCCCUAUGGGUUGUAAACUGCUUUUAUGCGGGGAUAAAGUGCACCACGUGUGGUGUUUUGUAGGUACCGCAUGAAUAAGGACCGGCUAAUUCCGUGCCAGCAGCCGCGGUAAUACGGAAGGUCCGGGCGUUAUCCGGAUUUAUUGGGUUUAAAGGGAGCGCAGGCUGAUUAUUAAGCGUGACGUGAAAUGUAGCCGCUCAACGGCUGAACUGCGUCGCGAACUGGUAGUCUUGAGUGAGUUCGAUGUUGGCGGAAUUCGUGGUGUAGCGGUGAAAUGCUUAGAUAUCACGAAGAACUCCGAUUGCGAAGGCAGCUGUCCAGUCCGUAACUGACGCUAAUGCUCGAAAGUGCGGGUAUCGAACA
rnacentral:rRNA from 1 species